rnacentral:rRNA from 14 species
GGAGCGAUCAGAAGAGAAAAUGUAGGCAUAAGUAACGAUAAUGCGGGCGAGAAACCCGCACACCGAAAGACUAAGGUUUCCUCAGCUAUGCUAAUCAGCUGAGGGUUAGUCGGGACCUAACGCGAACCCGAAAGGGGUAGUGGAUGGCCAACGGGUUAAUAUUCCCGUACCACCUUUAUUUUCGAUGGGGUGACGGAGUAGUGAAAGUCCCGCGUACUGACGGAAUAGUACGUUGAAGCAUGUAGGUAUAGGGCUGGCAGGUAAAUCCACCAGCUUUGCUGAAUGUGAUAGUACCACAAUGCUACGGCAGCGUGGAUAGUGUACCUAAUCAGACUUCCAAGAAAAACCUCUAAGGUUAGGAUAAAGGUGCCUGUACCGUAAACCGACACAGGUAGUCAAGGAGAGAAUCCUGAGGUGCUCGAGUGAAUCAUGGCUAAGGAACUAGGCAAAAUGGCCCUGUAACUUCGGGAGAAGGGGCCCCUACUUAUGUAGGGCGCAGUGAAAAGACCCAGGCGACUGUUUAUCAAAAACACAUGGCUUUGCAAAAUCGAAAGAUGAAGUAUAAGGCCUGACACCUGCCCGGUGCUGGAAGGUUAAGGGGG